AUGGGGAGUUUUGCAGACCACUUUGGACUUCUGCAGGUGGAGAACACGCUGGUGGUGCUUGUGGAGAAGAGUCACCAGCACACCAUGCUGCUGUGUGCAUUCUGUCCCUUUCUCCGCUGCACGUUGAGGACACCGGCUGGAUGGCGUCUUUCUGCCCUGUGUCCAAGUCACGCAGCACAGACCUGCUAUUCAGUGCUGAAUACUUUUUGUGAGUAAACGGUUAAACGUGGCUUUGGGCUGUAAAGCUGCAGAAUGGUCACAGAGAAGAGCUGAGAAGACAGUGUGAGAUACUGGGGAGGUCACUCGUACUCCUUAUGGAUAUUACUGUGGACUGACCU
rnacentral:lncRNA from 1 species